UUUAGUCACUUUUUCUCUCUCUUAAACUGGUAUCUCUCCUCCUCUUCUUCCUCAUCAUUUUCGUUCUCUCCCAUAUCAGCUCUCACCCAAGUCUUCUUUCUUCAUCUCACUCUCCCUCUUCGUUUAAACAACAAUCAAUCAAUGCCCAUCCAUCUCUGUAUCUAGAUCGGCUUCUUUUGAUGGUUGUGAAUGAACUUAAACCAAGAUUUAGAAGAACAGGGGAGGCUUCUUUGAUUUUCUCCAUGGCAUUUGUGUUUCAUGGUUGUGUUGUUGAUCCCGCGAGAUAGGCUUUGUGGUUGUGCGAAUUAUUUUUGUGGUUGAAGUCGAAGUUUGGGUGAGAUCAAUGGAUUUGUUUUGGGUUUCUGUUUUGGUUUAGAUUUGGGUAUGGGUAUUUGAUAUUUGAGAAGUUUGUGGGUUUGUUGAGGAUCAAUGAUAAACUUGGCUACUAGCAGCAGUAGGGUCAGAAUUUGAUUUUGUCAAGUUUGUGGGUGUGCUUUUUUUUUAUAUUUCUAGCUUAUGUUUGAUUUCUAAGAAAAUUUUAUUUUGUUAAAGAAAACUUUGGAUACUGAUAUUUUGUUUUGGUGUAGCUUUGCCUGGGUUUUUCAUGCUUGUUUGGCUUUAAUUAACCUGCUGGAAUUUUUUUUUUCUUUUGAUAGGAAUCUGCUGGAAAUUUUUGUUGAUGGGGGCGGUAGCUUUUGGUUGAGUCAUUCGCUUUGAGAACUUAUCUGGGGGAUUAUUAUUAAUUUUAUUGAAGAUGCAUUGUGGGCGAAAGUAAUUCUAAAUAAAUAUUGCUCCCAUUCAAGAAUUAGAUCAAGGGAUCCUGAAACUUCCAUCGUCUCCCAAUUGGAAAGCCAUUCGCUUGGGUUUUCCUAUAUUCCAAAAAGGGAUUUCUUGGGGGAUUGGUAAUGGAUCUGGAGUAAAGGUGUGGAAUGAUAAUUGGAUUAAAGGUGAUUCUCUUAGGGAGAUGAUUGAAGGGCCUCUUAGGCAAGGAGAACAAAAUUUGACAGUUGCAGAUUUGUGUUGUGGUCAAAUUUGGAAAUGGGAGCUGAUUUCAUUUGAUCUCCCUCAGCCUAUUAAAGAAAGGAUUAAAGCAGUUCCAAUUCAAUUACAUGGAAGUGGGAGAGAUACUUUGAUGUGGAAAUUCUCCAAUAAUGGAGAAUUUACUUCUAGUUCAGCCUACCGGUUGGCAAAUCAAGGGGAGGAACCUGUCACUUAAUUUCAUGGCCUUUGGAUAUGGAAAUUAGAUAUUUUGCCGAGAAUUAUAAAUUUCCUUUGGCUGUGUUUGCAUGGUAGUAUUCCAGUGAAGGUUGUCCUUGCUGAAAGAGGCAUAAAUUGUGACAAGGUUUGUCCUCUGUGUAGAGUUCAGGAUGAAACUAUAGUCCACCUUCUUCGUGAAUGUGUUGUUGCUCAUGAUUUAUGGAGGAAAUUGGAGGUUCCUCCGUCUCUUGUUAGUUCCUUCUCUGAUAAUUUUGAAGUUUGGUUGAAGAUUAAUUGUUUAAGUGAAGUAAGGCAUAAAGGAUCCACUCCUUGGUACUUCCUUUUCCUUUUUGCUGUUUGGAA